UGAGAUUCUAACUCGAGCCCUUGCCUGCAAUACGGCGUGCAGCAACUUUGAGUGUGGAUACUGGAUAGAGCGGAGAUCGGAAAGCCGUCUGACCGUCGUCAACUGCAAGUGUGGAGAAAAGGUGCUCGAAAAAAUGCCUCGCCGGCUGGGAAUAUUCUUCCGAAUUGUGCCAGGCCCGCAGAAAUUCCCAGCUGUUGCGACAGAAGUUCGCUGCGGGCCAGUGACUUGUCCUUGCGUGAUGUUGUGCCGAUCAAGACCUAGUUGCGCUCUGUUGCAUCCUGCUCGCCUCUGUUUUAUACACUCUAUCUUCAGAGCAAGCGCCAAGCGUUUUCUGUUCGUCUUGACCAGCAAGGAGACACGGUUUGAGCGCAAAUUCGCGUCGCUGUGUUUAGUAAGCGCAACUUGUCCAACCACAGUCAGUCUGGCUCAUGUGUUGUGAAGGAGAAGCAGAGUGUGCGCGAGAAAGAUUCUGCAGACGCGUGCUGGAGGCUGGUGAGAAGGGUUUGAUCACCACUCCGUUCCGGGAUUACGUGUAUCAAUAACGGCGGGGGUUCUUCAUAAGCAUCUCAAAUGGCGUGGGCUGCUAGACGCAAGCACGCUCGUCUUGCUGCUGGAUGUGUCCUACUUCUGUUCUGGUUUGGAUUCACCCCCGUGCAUUCUUCCAGCCCGGAAUCACGUGAGUACUGCACUGUGCUUGAACUACACACUCAUCCUGUUCUGCAGUGUUUUGUAUCUUUUUGAAGCUUGAGCCUCUUGCACGGGCGAAUUAACACAUUUGUGAAGCAUCAACACAAUUACAUGAACCGAAUGAUAUAGUAAUGAUUAUACAGACUCAGUAGGAUCACUGCAGGUUCACGGCACUGAGAUGGACACUAGCCGUGCGUAGAGUUGUAUAGUUUACACUGCUUGCCACAGCAUUUACAAUGGCUGCUGUCCAGCAAUACUUCGAUAUGAUUUCAACUAUUCAAAAGUUUUGGUCGUAAUCGAACCUUCCUGGAAUCAAGAUGAUGUACAUGUACAUGCACAUGUAUGACUACCAGGAAAUCAGUUAAUACCUUCCACAAGUUUGUUGAUUGAAGUACAUGUAUAUGAUGCAGCAGGGGUGGUGCAGAGAGGGCAUGUGGUGGAUUAAGAUGAUGAUAUACAUGAUUAAUCUACGUGGAGAUAAUAUUUUUAAUAUACAAUGUAGCUAUGAAUAGGAUGAAGGCCGCAUACAUCACGCAACUACGUUACUUGUUUUGACAUGUAUUUACUGUGUAUUUCAUAACAAAAAUAUUAUUGAAAACCCAUAAUCGAUUUUCUUGUGCCUAUCAUCAGUGGGAAAAAUACGGAACUAAGGAUACAACCAAAGAAACUGAAGUUAAGUACUGUAAAUAGAAAGGUGUUAGAAAUAACAACAAGAUACAAGUGCAAUAAAACCACUAGAGGAAACGCAAAAAGGUAACAAGAUUACGUAACCAAAGGCGAGAAGGCACUAAACGACGUGUCAACCUACGAAUACAACUUCAGUGCGACAACGUGCUCCUUCUGCUUACACAAAACAGGCUUAUGAAUACGUAUACAAACUGCCUUAAGGACUUUCAACUGUAGGACAUAACGCGCACGACACAGUACAGAAAAAUGAGAGUCAUCAUACACACUAAGACAGUCAGGACGAGAUAACAAGUGUAGAUACACAGCUGACUUCUUAC